CUUGCUCGCGUUGAAAAGGAUUGCUCGAAAAAAAAAAGAAGUAAUUGGUAAAUAUUUCGAGCACGGAGCCAAAUAAAUCUCCUGGCUACGAUAGGAGCAAGUUACCUCUGUGUUUCAUAGCGAAAGAAAAUAUUGCCUUGAUACGUUUCGUAGUGCACUGAUCGAAUGAAAUAGCAGCAUUGAAUUUCUCGAGAAAAAAAAAUUAACACGAAAAUAGCAUGACCGUUAGUGCUUGAUUCCAAAACUCCUAGAUUUGGCAACCAGACAGAAGCCAGUAGCUGAUCAAAACAUAAGACCCACGUAAUUUCGUAUAUCGCGUGUAAUAAAUGUGACGCGUCGGUUUCCUGAAAGUUUUUGGCAGAUCGUCAAUAAAAACCGCCUGGUGAAAAGAUCCAUCGAUAUGGCCGCCAAUGGUUAAUCACUCAGGAACCUAUGGCGAAGUCGCGAGAUCCGGACGACUGAUGCAACCAGUGCAGGCCUUGCGCUGCAAAUCACAAUAGUGCAAGGAUCGAAACGAGGUGGUUGGAGGAAGAUAAAAAAAAGGGGGGAGAUGAGGUAUAAGAAAAUAAGUAAAACACGCUGUAAGGUCUCAGCAUCCAAGAAAGGGAACCAGCUCGACUGAUGCAACAUCUCAACAGACCUGCGUAUAGCGCACGGCAGCCUUUAUACGGAUACAGCGUCCUCCAGACUCUAUAAACUGUGUACUGUGUACUACGGGUCGCUUCAAAAGUACACGUACCUCUUCCGCAACAGAUAAAUACUCGAGGUCAAAUGGAUACGAGUAACCCCGUCUGUUUACAACGAGCGAAAAAAAAUACCAUUGAACAAUUUAUGAUAAACCACAAGAAUCCUCAGUGUACCCAGAAUGCUCGUAAACGACUGUCGUACCAGCGACGCCAGUCUUCCCGGCGAAGUCCCACAAGUAGACACUUCAAGAACCUCCCCUAGGAAAGACCCCGUAGCAAGUACUCUUGAAGAUCAUGGAACUUGUGCUGUCGAUGGUACAGGCUCGCUCGAUCAAUAAUAAAAAGUCAACGAAAAGGAAAAUAAAAAUAUCACGCCGCAUAGGAAUAAUCGCUUAUGGCGAUCGAUUUCAUGUUAAAUCCGAGUAACGUAUAUAUAACAUAUAAAUCGGUUCUGGUAGCAGAGGACAGUUUGGCAAAGCGCCCGGCUGUGCCUAGGAUUCGUAUGCGUCGUUUAAUGCAUUGUGCCAGGCUAAAUAGGAAGGUAUACAUCCCAAGGGGUGUACGGUGCACAAGUAGCUAGAGCGAGAGAGAAAAAGUGAAAGAGAGAGACUGUUACAGCAAAAUGAAGGAGUAAGCGAGAGGGAUUACAAGAGUGUUCGUUUUCACAGGCGUGAGAUCCUCGUAAAGCAGUACCUAAAGUGGCUGUCGAGGAUCCCGAUAGGAGGGUCGUUACCGUACUGCCGUACUGAAUACACCGUGCCCUGGAUACGGAAGCUUUGGUUAACUACUCUCUAUCCCCUGGUAUACCUUAAGGCAGUACACAACCUGGCCGAAACGACCUUACGCGUCUAAUCCACCAAUGUAUCAGGUCCGUCAACACAGAACUUAGUACUAACUGACGCAUUAUUGGCAUCAUUAACAAAGAGCUAUGCGAUAUGGUAUUAAUCGAACUGCGACGUAACUAUCGUACAUGGUCUAUAUAUGGAAAGAAAAAACACAUCAAAUAUAUAAACUCUCAGUAGGACACGGAGUGAUAUGGUUGAACCUAUAGAUGUAAUGCUGCCAUAUCACGUAACACGUUAUUACUUCAUACCACAUAUAUAUAUAUAUAUAUAUGUAUAUACACUGCAAAGAAAAGCCCAUGUGAAAUACAUAUACAUCGCAGUGAAUUUUAUCGGAAUAUCGGACGCGACAUGUCCAAAGGUUGGACCGACCCUUGACCCGUGAUAGAAUGAUACUCUCGAACAGCCUUCGAGGAAGAGGAUUAGCCUUGCAAAAAAUACGAGCUGCUCUCCAUAGGUAUAGAAGCAUUUAGAAGUGUUCUUCUAGCUACAUUCGGGUCCUAUACAGCACUGCCUGAAGUCAGCUUGAUAAAUUAUAUCAGGGGCCAUUUUUUUCUAUCGACCGAUCGCAUAUCAUUAAUGCGUUAGCUGGGUUCACCAGGUUUACCUUGGACAUCGUCGCACACAUAGCAGAAGUAGUACCUUCUUCGGGACGAGGAGAAACUUUUGCCAAUAGUUGAAGCCGUCCCCGUUAAGGGUAUUCGGAUAUAGUACCUGAGCUAUGUAUACAUGUAUAGUACGUGUCUAUAGAGUGAUCCGGGUUGUCUCGCAGACGUUAAACUGCAUAGCUGGGAAGAGCCGUCGGAUAAGCAAGGCGUUCGGCUUGCAGCUGGUCUUAUUGUAUAAUCGAUCUAGCCGCGAGGCUAUAGACGUCCGUCGCGAUGCUUAUACACUUAAAAGCGUCUAAACGGAUGGUGCUUCUCCCACGAAGAAGGCAAAGAGUAUAGCCAAGAAAAGCUUCUGGGGAUUUAUCUGAUUUGGAAGUGGCGCUUCUUGAAAGCCAGUAAAACGCAAUACGGUCGUUAAUGGAGAUACUCGUGAGAGGGAGCGAGAGCGAAAGAGUGGAAGGACAUUCAUGAGAUUUGAUAUAGCAAGACGAUUUUAUAUAGUAAUGGUGGACGAGUGACUUGGUCUCGUAUACGGUUGAGCGUCGCGACGCUCUUGAGCGACGUGGAAACGUACGGCCGGUAAAUACAAGAUCGACCCAGAAAAUAGUUUAACGACUGAAGGAUCAAAAACGGGAGUUUGUUGUGAGCUGUACCUCCGAAAGAUGCAGAGGGAUGCUGGGAGUUCGUGAAAAUCUCAUUAGCACGUCUCGGCCGAGUAAGUAGAUAAGUAAGUAGUACAAUACUUAUGAAACGUUGAGAUACAGGAGUUAAGACGCUUUUCCGCCUUUCAAACAGUGAUAAAGGGACUUUUUAUCGAUUCUCAUGAAUGGCGAGAAUAAUACAGUCGGCUGUUAAGUGACAAGGAAGAGAGGAGGGAGGAGCGGCGAGGGUUGGUGUACAGCAUAAGAUCACAGGAAAUAGCCAUGAAGGCAAAAACACGGAGAAACAGGGUCAGAUAGGUUGGCAGCUGGAAAUCCCUAGAAAUAGGGAUUUUCAGUGGUCGUUCUAGUUAUAAACAGCUCAUCCAUGUUUAUUGGAAGGACCCGUGAUCAAGUUCAUAUAUAUAUAUAUACGAACGAGAUAAGGGUCGAACCUCGUCAGUCCAAGAGAGAAGGACGAGACGAGCGUGAGAAGUUAGAAGCCAAGAGAAAUAAAAGGAUCUUUAAGAAGUGACAGAGACAAAAAGAGAAAGUAGAACUACGGAGUGAAAAUUCGAUAAUGAAAAGAUCGAAUGUGUUGGAAGUACCAAGACGAAAUGGUAACGACCUGAGAGAGAAAAAUAAAGAGAGGCGAGAGAGAGAGAGAGAGAGAGAGAGAGAGAGAGAGAGAGAGAGCUACUACAGUGGUGUAUAUCUAUAUAUACGUAUCUAUCUAUAUAUGCAUAUCUUGAGUCGACAGUUGAAAAAAGUAGGAAAGGUCGAAAGGUAUAAAGGUGUAAGAGGUUGGACUUGACAUAUGACCGGGUGGAGAGGCGAUAGCUGCGAUUUUCCAAGUAUACCUGUGAAUACCUGAUGUAGAAAAGAUCUUUACUCCUGACGGUAAGGAGGGUACACGACACACCCGGGCACAUAACUCGAUUUCGAAGAAAAUGGACUUUUGCGGUUUAAAGGAGAAGACGUGCACAAGUAGAGGAAUUGGUAGCUAUACGUAUAUAGCUCUAGGUACGUAUAGGUAGAUAGGUAGUUGUACAGUACUACGUAUACGGGGAUUCUGGAGAUAGAAUGCUACGGUUCACUCUCCUAAAGAGUAUCACGGAGGGACCGGGAGAGUCGGAGACAGAAGAGAGAAUGAAAGAGAAGGAGAGGGGGAAAGAGAGAGAGAGAGAGAGAGAGAGAGAGCACAGUUUGUGUGUAAGCUACGUGUGUAGUGUAAGACAGAGGUAGAGCCAGGCGUCGGCCAAGAACUCGAUCGAUAAGCCACGCUCUCCUCUCUCGAUUUUCUCGACGUAUCUUAUAGUGCAUAUAUAUAUAUGCACACCCACAUAUAUAUAGAGAGAGAAAGAGAUACAUAUAAUAGGGACUGAGCUUCCUGGCAGCGCUGCCAUUGUGCAUUCGUGUUUCCGUCUAUUCCGCUUUUCGCCCUGUGAAUUCGCUUUUAACCUUAAGAAUGCACGCGUGGGUCGAUUUGACCCCGUGACUUCUGAAAUGGGGUCGAUCUCGACUGUGUUGUCUGCAUCUCGAAACACCGACACGAGAAAUCGCAACGCAAUUAACGGCCACCGCGUCGAUAAAAAGGAUGUACGAUUUUCUUUUUUUUUUGCUUCCACUAAAAAAUCCAUUAAAUAACUGCAGCCCGUUGAGGAUUUAUUAAUUAAAGAUAGAUAGUCUCUCUCUCUCUUUCUCUCUCUCUGUUUCGCACCACAUUGUUUUGGGCCACGCUGAUAUAGUGUCUAUCAUGCGUCACAUUUUGAACGUCCAUUUCCCUCGGACUUAUAAAGCAAAACAGUAAAAUCGUCCUUAUUACAAUGAACGAUUUGAUGGUACCUGUCUGUGACAUUGGAAUGCAUUAAAUUUUUUUUUUCUUUUCGAAAUAUUUUUUUUCAAUCGUAAAAACUAGAAUUUUUACAUAAAUAUCAGUUGUCUCAUCUGCGAGGGCAUGAAAAACCAUUGAAAAGGCGCAGCUAAGACGAUGCGACAUCACAACGCAAAACCAUUUGAAAACAUAUGGCUACCCUUAAAUCGUCACUCUGUAUAUACCCGCUGGGGGCUCUCGGUAGCGAUUUAACGACGUAACGCCUGACAGAGCAUCGCGACGCCAAGUAUACGCUUCUGCUGCUUGAAGAGACCUUGCUUUUAAAUAAAGAAAUUGUCCUUUACUCGUAGUGAUACAAAGGCGCAGACUACUAGGUCCUUUUUCCUUUUACGAAGUAAGAUUCCUUACCCCGUUCAUCCCUGAAUCAUACUCAGACGUUUCUUAUCGUAAUACGAUAUACGCGACUUCCAAAUUACGCUCGCAGACGAUUGCGUAACAGUAUUUUUGCUAAAAACGUAAAAGACACAAUAACCCAAACAUGAUUACACCGAAAUUGCGGAUUUACGCUAUAUGCAGAUAUAUCGAGUAUAUAAACCCCUCGAGGUAUAUGAUGUGUCAAGGAUGAAAUUGUCUGGUGAAAUACGAAGCGUUUCGAUAUAUCUAUAUAUACUAUCUAUAUGAAUUUCUUGUUGCAGGUCAGACAGGUCAUAGAGCGACCAUUGUAUUUUCAUUAUUACGUCCGCAACUCGUAACGCUACUACGCAGUGUUUUGCGACAGUUAUAUUGUACAUCGGUAUACACGCUUAGCAUGCGCAGUGUACGAAAAAGCUGUUUGCUCGCAGGGCUCGCACUGAUCCUCUAAAAUUAUACGAGCGUGCAACCUAAAGAAAAGUAUCUAACUAUAGCCAAAAAGUAUUGUCGUCGCAUAAAAAUACUGCGAAGGUUAUUUUCGUGACGCCGCGAGCUUGACAAAAAUAUAGUUAAUGGACGCUAGAUGAAGGAUGUGACUUUUUUUUAACCUCAAAGGAUAAACAACCAACUGACUGCCUUGUCAAUCAGGAAUCUUACGCGCUAUAGGUAAUGCUUUCG